AAACUACAUGACAAAUGUUAUGGAGUUCAGUCUUUCAGAAGUUAUCAACAGUUUAAUAAAUAACAGACCCUCUCCUGCCAUGUCUUCUUAUUGCUUGUUGCUGAAGAAACUGCUCAGGUACCAAAAAGACUGCAAAAGAGUUCAGAGAGAACAUGAAGCAGAAAAACACAGUAUUAGUCCUGAUGAACAGCUGAAUAAGGAGUCAGAAACUAAGAUUUCCCCAAAGGCUGAAAUGGACACUCUGGAAAACCUCAGAAAUUAUGGCAAUAGGGCAUUUCCUACUGUACUAACCCUGGCAGUGCCAAAUGCCGUUCAAGAAGAUGAGAUCACAAUUGCAUUGGAAAACCAGGAAAACUUGUCAAAAGUUUCCAAGUUUGCAGGCAGAGAGUUGGUCUGCUGUGAGCCUCCUAAGUCACCAAGAAAAAGUAUGCCAUGUGAGCCCAUUUAUCAACCACUUUUGGAAUCUCAGAAGAAUCAGAACGGCUUUGAAGACUUGACAGAGACCAGAAAACCAUGUCUUCAUGAGAAAUCCCCAUCCACACCAGCAAAUAAGAAAUCUCCCUUUUCAAACAUCCAAGCAAUGCCAAGUACAGGCAAAGUACCUCCACGGUCCCUGGUGAAAAAUAGAAUUAUUAGCAGAAGUCCUUUGCCUGGUCAGGACAUGAGGUUUAAAGACCUUCUGAAGGCAGUGUAUGACAAUAUUCACACCCCAACACAGAGGAAAUUUAAUAAAGAUGAUGCUGACCUCCUCAUGAUUGACUCUCCCCAGUUCUCACCUUUCCCCAGGCUGCAACAAGCUGCCCUAAGAGAAACCCUUCCUAGAAAGAUUUCCUUGCAGGGGGCAGCACAGGAACAUACAGAUAUCUGCCCUCUUGUUAUAGUCAAUGGGUCAAAACCACCAGCUUUCCCCAUGGCCCAGCAGCAAACGUUUACCAUAAGAGGUAUGAGGCAGUUUAAAGAAAACCCGACUCACUUUUUCAAUAAGAAAACUAAGAAAAACUUUAUUCAGCUCAGACACAUGCCUGCAACUACAGAUGUAAAUCUUCCAGUUUUAUGCCCACCAUACCAAACCAGGUCAGGUAAAAAAACAGAGACUCUAAGAUUAAAUUUUGCAUAAAUAAAACACCCACAAAGCAUCAGAAGAAAAAAAUUUUGAAGAAGCAAGUAAGAAACAAAGGUGGACAAGAAAGAGAAAGCAAGAAAAGGAAGAUCAGAGAGAUGAAUUCAAUAUUAAAAUGAGAAUCCUCCAAAUACAGAAGAAUUAUAUGAUUUAAGCUGCAUAUCCUCUGAUAUUGACCAAACACCAUGCUACAAAUUUUGUGGACCACACCAAAGAAUCAGAAAAGCAGAUGCCACUGUAACAGGAUAACAUCAUGUAUAUUUAGGCAUAAAAGUGGACACUGAGGGCAGAAGAUGUGAUUUAAAAUAUUUUGCACCAAUACAAAUAUUGUCCUAAACUUGUGUUACUUGUACUUCUGCAUUUCAUCAGGAAAAUAAACCCAGGCAGACAAUUUUUAUUAAGCUGUGA
rnacentral:lncRNA from 1 species